rnacentral:rRNA from 1 species
AUUGAACGCUGGCGGCAGGCCUAACACAUGCAAGUCGAACGAGUGGCGGACGGGUGAGUAAUGUCUGGGAAACUGCCUGAUGGAGGGGGAUAACUACUGGAAACGGUAGCUAAUACCGCAUACCAUCGGAUGUGCCCAGAUGGGAUUAGCUAGUAGGUGGGGUAAAGGCUCACCUAGGCGACGAUCCCUAGCUGGUCUGAGAGGAUGACAAGCCAAACUGGAGAUGGUAAAGGGCUCAGACGCCUACGUGAGGCAGCAGUGGGGAAUAUUGCACAAGGGGCGGAAGCCUGAUGCAGCCAUGCCGCGUGUAUGAAGAAGGCCUUCGGGUUGUAAGUACUUUCAGCGGGGAGGCGUUACCCGCAGAAGAAGCACCGGCUAACUCCGUGCCAGCAGCCGCGGUAAUUC